rnacentral:rRNA from 1 species
ACAGCUGGCGGCAGGCUUACACAUGCAAGUCGAGCGCCCCACUGGAGGAGCGCUCCGAGGGGCGAGUAACGCGUGGGAAUCUACCGCGCCCUACCGACCUGCUCCGGGAAACUGGAAUUAAUACCGUAUACGCCCUACCGGGGACAGAUUUAUCGGGGUAUGAUGAGCCCGCGUUGGAUUGCGCUAUUGGAGGAGCCAAGGCCUACCAAGGCGACAAUCCAUAGCUGGGCCGACAGGAUGAUCAGCCCCAUUGGGACUGAAACACGGGCCCAACUCCUACGGGACGGAGCCGCGGGGAAUAUUGCACAAUGGGCGCAAGCCUGAUCCUAUCAUGCCGCGUGAGUGAUGAAGGUCUUACCAUUGUAAAGCUCUUUCACCGGUGAAGAUAAUUGACGGUAACCGUAGAAUAAGCCCCGGGUAACUUCGUGCCUACCUUCGUGGUAUUACGAAGGGGGCUAACGAUGUUCCGAAUUACUGCGCGUAAAGCGCACCUAGGCGACUAUUUAAGUCAGGGGUGAAAUCCCUUACCUCAACUCUGGAACUGCCUUUGAUACUGGGUAUCUUGAGUAUGGAUCACGUGACUGGAAUUCCGAGCGGCCAGGUGAACUUCUGAGAUAUUCGGAGGAACACCAUUGGGGAAUGUCCUUCGCUGCUCCGUUACUGACACUGAUGUGCAAGAGCGCGGGGAGCAAACGCGACUACAUGCCCUGGUACUGCCCCCCAUGAGCGAUGACUGGUAGCCGUCACGCGAUAUACUGUUCUGGGGCGCAGCUACCGCAAUAAACAUUCCUACCGGGGGAGUACCCUCGCAAGAUUAAAGCUCCAAUGAAUUGACUG